ACCCCAGCCCCAGCUCCAACUCCAACCACAUUCCCAAUCCCAGCCGCAGCCUCAACCCAAGCCUCAACCCCAACCCAAGCCGCAGCCCCAACAGCUCCAUCCGUAUCCGCAUCCACACUCGCAUCCGCACCAGCACCCGCAUCAGCUACCGCACCCGCACCAACAACCGCUCUCGCAGCCGCACGGCCACCGGCUUCUCCGCAGCACCUCCAACUCAGCCUGAAGGGGGCAGCACCCGGGCAAGACGAGGUUUUGAGGACUCGAGGAAGUGGGAUGAGAGCACCUUUCUGUUGUCUUCGUUUGGAUGGAAAACAAGUGUCCCUGCUCUGCACCAGACCAAGUAGUUUGGACAUCAGCCGACCGAUAACUUGCAAUUCCUCUUAGUUUUCUGCAUACUUUUCCUCAUCGCAAUGCAGGAAACGAUCUCAAGGCUAGAAGGCUUUAUUUAUGAACCUUUGAAAGGAUCUCCCAGUAUGGUGGACCUUCUAGGAGCGAAGAUGUACUGUAAUUUUAUUUUAAUGUAUUUUGAUUUAUGAUUAUUUAUUAGUUUUUUUAAAAAAAAUAUUUGUUCUAAGACAUUUCUGAAUGUAGGCCGUUUUCCAGAAAAGGAACUUUAUUUUCAAAAACCUAUUUCCUAGUACGUCCUAAUCUUGGAAAGGAAAAAAGGGAGGUGUAGGGGAAAACAUUAAGACUUCAUUCAUUCAUUAUUCCUAGGUCAAUUUCAGAACCCGGACACACUCAUUGUUAUGCCAGGUGGUUGAAAUUAAACUCUGUGAUAUAACUUU